rnacentral:rRNA from 1 species
UACGGAGGGGACUAGCGUUGUUCGGAAUUACUGGGCGUAAAGCGCACGUAGGCGGAUUUGUAAGUCAGGGGUGAAAUCCCGGGGCUCAACCUCGGAACUGCCUUUGAUACUGCAAAUCUCGAGUCCGGAAGAGGUGAGUGGAAUUCCUAGUGUAGAGGUGAAAUUCGUAGAUAUCAGGAGGAACACCAAUUGCGAAGGCAGCUCGCUGGGACGUUACUGACACUGAGGCGCGAAAGCGUGGGGAGCGAACAGG